ensembl:lncRNA
GUGUGUUUAUGCAUGUGUGUGUCUGUGUAUAUAGACAUAAAUAAUUAGACUUGUAGUUGGCAUAACGCAUAAUGCCUGCUCAUGCUGUUGACAGUUGCUUAAUAAUGCACGCUCUCCCAUUCUCUCCAGCUGAAUUCUUAAGGCAUUACCAUGGGAAUUUUCCCUUUCUGGGGAUUGUAACAGAGCUCUAGGACUAGUUGUUUUUGUGAUGUGCUUCUUGACUGGCUGGAGCGGCCCUUAUUCAGGAACUCCAUCCAAGCAUCUCCUGCAGAGAAUGAAACCAUCAGCUGUCCUCGAAGCGGUGCUCCAUACUGCGGUGACACACAACGGCCUCAGCAGGUGAUAAGAAAGGCAUGAGAACAGGCUGGAAGGAGAAUGAACUACUGAGGGGCCCAAGCUGAAAGAAAUAAAGACUUCCAGUACAUCACCCUGACAGUAAAGAACCAAGAAAAAGUGUAGUCUGAGGGCCCUGCUUGCUGACUCUCCCAAUGACUUUGCUGAGGUUUCCAUGCCCAACUCUUGUGAGGUACUAAUACAUCAAAAAUCUAUCUUUGGAAGCAUGCUCCCCUGCUCAAACAUUUAAAACACCAGGAUUUCAUCACGGGGCAGACUAAGUGCAAGAAUUCUUCCCGGGUGUUGAAGUUCUGCAACCACCACCACACCAUCAGGACCGGACAGCAACGGGCGGACGGAGAUGGUGGAUGAGAGCUGCCAGGUGCAUGCAACUUCUUGCCCAAGAUUUCCAAGACCUGAUGGUGUGGAGAGCUUUAAAAGAAGGAUCUGAAGGAAAGCAGUGAUGCAACUUCGUGGGUGCCUCUUGCUGUGAUUUAGUGCUGUCUGUGCUCAGGCACCAGCUCAGCCUGCAGCCAGGCAUCACUUCUAUCACUAAAGUAGUGCUGCACACUGUGUGGAUAUCCCACAGACUAGUCAAAAGAGGACAAAGCAUCUCUCCUCUCACUUGGAGUACAGCAUGCACCAGUAACUUGCAUGAGAAUUGUAUUACCCAGAACCUGCAUGAUGACUUCACACACCACAAAAUAUGGGCAGUCACAGGAGUGCAACUGCAGGGGCCCUCCUUGGCUUUCUUCAGAUCACAGUUUGCCAGCUCCCAUCCCAGAAAUGUGAGUCCUGAGAAUGACUGCAGAAACUUUUACUUGUCUGAGCUCCAGGAGUAUUUAUGUAAUUUAAUCGAUGAACUGCACUGAUUUAUUUGCACUAAGUAACUCCUUGGGAUCUGGAUAAUAGAUAAGGGUGUGCACAGUGCUGUACAAACACAUCAUAAAUAAAUGCAGCUUGCAAAUCAAUUGUCAGAUAUUGAUGAUUAAUCUCCUUAUAGUAAAAUAAUGUUACAUCUGUCCAUUAUGGCUUUUUUUUCUUU